UACGGGGGGGGCAAGCGUUGUUCGGAAUUACUGGGCGUAAAGGGCUCGUAGGCGGCCAACUAAGUCAGACGUUGAAAUCCCCAGGCUCAACCUGGGAACUGCGUCUGAUACUGGAUGGCUUGAAUUCGGGAGAGGGAUGCAGAAUUCCAGGUGUAGCGGUGAAAUGCGUAGAUAUCUGGAGGAAUACCGGUGGCGAAGGCGGCAUCCUGGACCGACAUUGACGCUGAUGAGCGAAAGCUAGGGGAGCAAACGGGG
rnacentral:rRNA from 1 species